rnacentral:rRNA from 1 species
CUUAGCCGUAAUCUAAGGCGAAACCUGCCCAGUGGCUUAAGACUGAAUAUAAACGUUCUCAAUAAAGUUAAAAGGACGCAGUAACCUGACUGUGGUAAAGUAGCAUAAUCACUCGCCGUUUAAUUGGCGGAUAGCAUGAAUGGUUUAACGAAUUCUCCACUUUCUAAAAAAGAGAAAAUAUGAAAUUUGAAUAAUAGUUAAGAUACUAUUUAAAACUGUAAGACGAAAAGACCCUAUAGAGCUUAACUAUAAUUAUUCUUUUAAAACUAAGAAAAUAGGUAGUUUAGUUGGGGCGACUGCUUUUUAAAAAAAACAAAAGCAAACAAUGUUAAUAUAAAACUUAUUGUAAAACUAAUAAGUUUAACAAUUACUAUAGUAGGUUAUAUAGACCCGUUAUAAUUAAACAAAAAAAAUAACGAUCAAUAAAUAAAAGCUACCUUAGGGAUAACAGGAUAAUUUUGUUACAGAGACCUUAUCGAAAACAAAGUUUGUCACCUCUAUGUUGAAUUAAGAUAACCAAACAGAGCAGAAUCUGUUAAAGGUAGGUCUGUUCGACCUUUAAAAU